UUCCAAAGGGCAUGCCUGUUCGAGCGUCAUUUGUACCCUCAAGCUUUGCUUGGUGUUGGGCGUUUUGUCUUUGCUCGCCAAAGACUCGCCUUAAAACGAUUGGCAGCCGACCUCUUGGUUUCGCAGCGCAGCACAAUUUUGCGCUUGCAAAUCAGCAAGUUGGCACUCCAUCAAGAACAUUUUCUUACGUUUGACCUCGGAUCAG
rnacentral:misc_RNA from 1 species